AUUGAACGCUGGCGGCAGGCUUAACACAUGCAAGUCGAGCGGGGGAAGGUAGCUUGCUACCGGACCUAGCGGCGGACGGGUGAGUAAUGCUUAGGAAUCUGCCUAUUAGUGGGGGACAACAUCUCGAAAGGGAUGCUAAUACCGCAUACGUCCUACGGGAGAAAGCAGGGGAUCUUCGGACCUUGCGCUAAUAGAUGAGCCUAAGUCGGAUUAGCUAGUUGGUGGGGUAAAGGCCUACCAAGGCGACGAUCUGUAGCGGGUCUGAGAGGAUGAUCCGCCACACUGGGACUGAGACACGGCCCAGACUCCUACGGAAGGCAGCAGUGAGGAAUAUUGGACAAUGGGGGGAACCCUGAUCCAGCCAUGCCGCGUGUGUGAAGAAGGCCUUAUGGUUGUAAAGCACUUUAAGCGAGGAGGAGGCUACUCUAGUUAAUACCUAGGGAUAGUGGACGUUACUCGCAGAAUAAGCACCGGCUAACUCUGUGCCAGCAGCCGCCGUAA
rnacentral:rRNA from 1 species